GUCGUUCGCUUGAGGAAGGAUAUCUUCCUCCAAUUACACUUGUUAUUGUUCAGAAAAGGCAUCAUACCCGCCUUUUCCCAGCUGAUUACAACAAUCGUGAUUCCAUGGACAAGAGUGGCAACAUUCAACCAGGCACUAUUGUUGAUACCCAAAUCUGCCACCCAACUGAGUUUGACUUCUACCUUAACAGUCAUGCUGGAAUUCAGGGAACCAGUCGGCCUACUCACUACCAUGUCUUGUUUGAUGAGAACAAUUUCCCUGCUGAUGCCUUGCAAGUUCUCACCAACAAUCUCUACUACACUUAAAUACUAUUCAUUUUCAUUUUUUGUUCUCCGAUUCCAACAUUCUAUUGUGAACUAAUUUUUUUGUUCCUGUUCUUGACCUGAUACAAGAAUUUAAGAGGCAUAAUGUUAUGUUUUUUUUUUUUGUAGGAUGGAAGGAGCAAUGUGCCAAGUACUCUCCUUACUCCACAUACUUUGAGGGCAGACUCAGCUCUGCCAUGCCCAACUCUGUGUACAACCAAAGUAACAACUCAGAAAAUGGAAACCAUUCUAACAUCAUCUGAACAGGUGGGCUUUUUAUUUCCCUUGUGCACACUAUAAAUGAUUAAUGGAAAGAUUGUAGUACUUUUAUUACUACAAAUUUUAUCUAUUAAGUGGUAGCUGCUAGAUCUGUUAUGGUUUUCU